rnacentral:lncRNA from 1 species
GUCCCCCCCCCCCCCCCCCCCCCCCCCCCCCCCCCCCCCCCCCCCCCCCCCCCCCCCCCCCCCCCCCCCCCCCCCCCCUUGAUCAAUUUCGAGAGACGAAAACUUUAUUUCCUUCGAAUCAGUCUUAUUUUCACGAACCAAAGCGUUUGAAGUACCAUCGUAUUUGGGGGGAAAACGUAGUCCUGUCUUAGACGCGAUUGUUCGCUUUGGACAAUUUUAUGGAGAAUCGGAAAUAGAUGAAGGCAACAAUACCGAAGAAGAAGCUAGGUUAGGGCAACGAUUAGCGGCGAACGAGGUCCCGAAGCCACUCGGAGCCGCCAUUCAAGCGAUGAAUAGCAGCGGAGAGCGAGCUUCGAAACCCCAAAUCGAUGAAUGUAUCGGAGCAGGUGGAGGAGAAGAAGAAUUGAGGAAACGCGUUGAGGAGAGAGAGAGAGAGUAAUUUUGGUUUCAACGAAUUUUUCAAAACAUAGGUUUGGUGAGUUAGGUACUUGGUGCGAAAUAUUUGACCCAAGCAAUAGAGAAUUCUCUCUCCAUAGAUCGUUAGAAGGACGUGCACGCG